rnacentral:rRNA from 1 species
UACGGGGGGGGCAAGCGUUGUCCGGAUUUAUUGGGCGUAAAGAGCUCGUAGGCGGUUUGUUGCGUCGGCUGUGAAAUCCCGAGGCUCAACCUCGGGUCUGCAGUCGAUACGAGCAAACUAGAGUGUUGCAGGGGAGACUGGAAUUCCUGGUGUAGCGGUGAAAUGCGCAGAUAUCAGGAGGAACACCGGUGGCGAAGGCGGGUCUCUGGGCAACAACUGACGCUGAGGAGCGAAAGCGUGGGGAGCGAACAGG